rnacentral:rRNA from 1 species
GAGUUUGAUCUUGGCUCAGAGUGAACGCUGGCGGUAGGCCUAACACAUGCAAGUCGAACGGCAGCACAGUAAGAGCUUGCUCUUAUGGGUGGCGAGUGGCGGACGGGUGAGGAAUACAUCGGAAUCUACUUUUUCGUGGGGAUAACGUAGGGAAACUUACGCUAAUACCGCAUACGACCUACGGGUGAAAGCAGGGGAUCUUCGGACCUUGCGCGAUUGAAUGAGCCGAUGUCGGAUUAGCUAGUUGGCGGGGUAAAGGCCCACCAAGGCGACGAUCCGUAGCUGGUCUGAGAGGAUGAUCAGCCACACUGGAACUGAGACACGGUCCAGACUCCUACGGGAGGCAGCAGUGGGGAAUAUUGGACAAUGGGCGCAAGCCUGAUCCAGCCAUACCGCGUGGGUGAAGAAGGCC